GUCUUAAAGAAAUUAAUUCUAAGUCCAAUCUGCCCAAUGAAAAAUUAAAUGGCUGCAGUAUUAGUAACUGUACAAAGGUAGCAUAAUAAUUAGAUUUUUAAUUGAAAUCUAGAAUGAAAGAUUAAAUGAAAUAUAAACUAUAUCAAUAAAAUAAAUAAUUAAAUUUAAAAUUUAAGUAAAAAUUCUUAAAUAUAAUUAAAAGACAAGAAGACCCUAUAGAAUUUUAUAUAUUAUUAAAUAAAUAACUUAUUAAAUAAUAUAUUUAAUUGGGGUAAUUUUAAAAUUUAUUAAAUUUUUAUUUAUAAUAAACAUAAAUUAAUGAAAUAUUAAUCCUAAAAUUUAGAUUAAUAAAAUUAAUUACCUUAGGGAUAACAGCGUAAUUUUUUUUGAAAGACCAAAUUAAUAAAAAAGUUUAC
rnacentral:rRNA from 1 species